UACGUAGGGGGCUAGCGUUGUCCGGAAUCAUUGGGCGUAAAGAGCGUGUAGGCGGUCCGGUAAGUCCGCUGUGAAAGUCGGGGGCUCAACCCUCGAAUGCCGGUGGAUACUGUCGGGCUAGAGUACGGAAGAGGCGAGUGGAAUUCCUGGUGUAGCGGUGAAAUGCGCAGAUAUCAGGAGGAACACCGAUUGCGAAGGCAGCUCGCUGGGACGUCACUGACGCUGAGACGCGAAAGCGUGGGGAGCAAACAGG
rnacentral:rRNA from 1 species